rnacentral:lncRNA from 1 species
UGCGCAGGCUCCUCACGUCCGCCAGCUUCGCCUUCUCUGCCGCACCUCAAUUGGGUCAUUCCGAGAAUUGGCUGAAGAAGACGACCACGACUACGAGGCUUGGCGAGAUCGAUUAAGAAUCCGGCAUUCCUGGAGCACAUCUCAAGCGUAAGGCGAGAGAGAGUUUCUGUGCUUGCGUUAGAUUCGGAACUGACUUCUCUGUUUUCGUGGCUGUUUUAUUCACAAUUCACCGUGAAGAAUUACGUUCGAAUUUUCAUAUUUGUAACCUUGACUGUCGCUUAUGCCUUAAUUCUUACCAGUCCUGCAUUCUCCUUCAUGCUUCCAUUUCCUAGCUCUGUUCAAGUUCCUGCUCCGGGAUUUUUUCCUUGUGUGGGGUCGCUGUACAGUUAUGUUCUAGUUUAAGUUUUGGCCAGAUUUAUGGUUUAAAUGUAAG